rnacentral:rRNA from 1 species
GAUGAACGCUAGCGGCAGGCCUAACACAUGCAAGUCGAGGGGUAACUAGAGUGAUAGCAAUAUUACUUUGGCUAGACCGGCGCACGGGUGCGUAACACGUAUGCAACCUACCUUAUACUGGGGAAUAACUUCGAGAAAUCGGCGCUAAUACCCCAUAACAUUGCGAAGAGGCAUCUCUUUGCAAUUAAAGCUCCGGCGGUAUAAGAUGGGCAUGCGUCCAAUUAGCUAGUUGGUGAGGUAACGGCUCACCAAGGCUACGAUUGGUAGGGGUUCUGAGAGGAUGACCCCCCACACUGGUACUGAGACACGGACCAGACUCCUACGGGAGGCAGCAGUGAGGAAUAUUGCGCAAUGGACGAAAGUCUGACGCAGCCAUGCCGCGUGCAGGAUGACGGCCCUAUGGGUUGUAAACUGCUUUUGUACGGGAAUAAACCCUUCUACGUGUAGGAGGCUGAAGGUACCGUAAAAAUAAGCACCGGCUAACUCCGUGCCAGCCGCCGCCGUAACAC